GAUGAAGAACGUAGCGAAAUGCGAUAAGUAAUGUGAAUUGCAGAAUUCAGUGAAUCAUCGAAUCUUUGAACGCACAUUGCGCCCCCUGGUAUUCCGGAGGGCAUGUCUGUCCGAGCGUCAUUAGUCCAAUCUCAAGCCUGGCUUGUCGUUGGGUCGCACCGCCCGGGGCGGUGGACCCGAAAUAUAAUGACGGGGUCUAGCGGACCGUGGGCGCAGCGAGCUUUUACAGCACGCGUCCCGGCGUCAUCUAGACGCGUCUCCAACCAUACUCUCUGUAGGUUGACCUCGGAUCAGACAGGAUUACCCGCUGAACUUAAGCAUAUCAAUAAGCGGAGGA
rnacentral:misc_RNA from 1 species